GACGAACGCUGGCGGCGUGCUUAACACAUGCAAGUCGAACGAAGAGCGAUGGAAGCUUGCUUCUAUCAAUCUUAGUGGCGAACGGGUGAGUAACGCGUAAUCAACCUGCCCUUCAGAGGGGGACAACAGUUGGAAACGACUGCUAAUACCGCAUACGAUCUAAUCUCGGCAUCGAGGAUAGAUGAAAGGUGGCCUCUACAUGUAAGCUAUCGCUGAAGGAGGGGAUUGCGUCUGAUUAGCUAGUUGGAGGGGUAACGGCCCACCAAGGCGAUGAUCAGUAGCCGGUCUGAGAGGAUGAACGGCCACAUUGGGACUGAGACACGGCCCAGACUCCUACGGGAGGCAGCAGUGGGGAAUCUUCCGCAAUAGACGAAAGUCUGACGGAGCAACGCCGCGUGAGUGAUGACGGCCUUCGGGUUGUAAAGCUCUGUUAAUCGGGACGAAAGGCCUUCUUGCGAAUAGUGAGAAGGAUUGACGGUACCGGAAUAGAAAGCCACGGCUAACUACGUG
rnacentral:rRNA from 1 species